UCCCAGAGUUUAUCCAGCCGGUGAAGGAUCGUCCCCGGACAGACUGUGCUGCUGCCAGGCGGAUGGUGACCAGAGCGCUGGGGCUGCAGUCACGGGGCAGAGCGAAGCGAUAUUGAAGGGAAUCACAAACGCUGUGGGCUAAUACAGGUCCAACAGAGGUCGGCCUCCACUCAUCGGGCCCGACUGAUGUUGAUACGACCUUCCAGAAGUGUUUGCCUGCUUCACUGAUCAGAGAAGCACGUUUGCAUGGUGCAGAGAGGGGGCGCCACACAUCUGCAACAUCCAUCCUGCUGAAGUGUUCAUGAGCAAAUGCUGAAGCCUCACAGUCCCUAUUCUGUAGCUGAACCUGAACCCUUUGGACAUAAGUAUUCAGAUUCCUGUUGUGACAUGAGUGGAUGAUCAAUGAUGACAGGGAAUUCAUAUGGAAAAGCCCCUGGAGAAAACUGCAGCUCUCGGCUUGUUUUGAUUUGAUUGCGUGUGUUCUUGGAACUAAGCUUUUGGAGUGGUUUUUUUUAUGGUUAUGCAGGGUUGGUUGUAUAAUUCUUUCCAAGUAGUCAUUAUUUUCUAACCUAAUGUUGAGUUCCUCGACAGAUUAAUACUCAGGAUUUGGUUAAAGAAAUGUAAAUUGUGAGCUGUACAACACAGCCAGAUGUUUAUAUUGACUGCACAUUUCCACCUGACAGAUGUAAUGUAGAUCUGUUAAAGAAAAUAACAGCCUCGCUCAAUGGCCACUGUUCCAGUUGAGAGAUGCAGCCAUUAAGAAAAACAUGUAGCAGCAAUGUUAUGCUGAACUAUAUACAUAUUUACCAAUGUUUACGUUAAUUUAAAACACGCAUUUUAAUUUGUUUCUACAAGCUCCAUCGAGAUGUUCAGUUGUUUUUAUUUGUUCUUAUAAAUAACAUGAAACUACCUUUCAGGAUUAUUGCUCAGAGGCCAAGUGUUCAAGUUCUGUCUCACUCCACUUUAUAGAAAAGGGAAGAUUUUUGAUCAACUAAAGUUGAGCUUUGGAAACUCGGACUGUACGGUCCUUUGAACCUGUUACUGUCGUUUUGAAUGUUGCCUCGGUAAAUGGCAUUAACAUGCCAUAAAACCAAUUGUAUAAGUUUGUAUUUAGUAAAAGAAAGAUGUUCAGUAUUUUAUUUUGUUGUCGUACUGAAAUAAAUGUUCACAACAUUUA